AAAGUGUUCAUGCUCCAUUUUAGACCAGCUAAGUAAGCAUACUUGGGAUCUGGUCAUUGGAUUUUUUUUUUUUUUACAUUUAAAUCUUCUAGGAAAUUCUAUCAUGCAGCCCAGGUUGAGACCACUGAAACAGAAAGGAGUCUUAGGGACUGAAGAUGAACCCUAAAAGCUUGGCCAGAUUUUGAUACAUGGAGAGGAGUAAAACUGACAGCUUGACAAGAGACUAGUGGAGAACAAAUAGUCAUACUUGAGUAUGGCCCCACUUUGGGCUGUAAAGAGAUGGCCUGACCUAAGCUAAUGCCUCCUGUUGCACAGAUGGAAGACGGAGCCAGAUGGGAAAAUCCUUCACAUUCCAUUCUUCUAUUCUCCAGACACAUUCUUCUGUUCCUAAGACAUGGACAGCCAAGGAAACAAGCAAUUCUUCUGUGGUGUCAAGUCUAUGAUGCCUACCUCAUUUGAGUGAUGGAAUUGAUUAAGAAAGUCAAACCCUCAGUUUCUUGGAGAAAGUGCUCAUCUACUGCCCAGAAAUCUCUCUUCUGGGAAGGGCACGACCUCAGAAAAGUGAUCACUUGACUUUUUCUAAGGUAGGGAAUAUUUCAUCCCCCUUACUUUAAGCAAGUAUUGAACCACAUAUUAUUCCUGCGUGUUGCCCCUCUGUUCACUCUUAGCUCCUUCCUCCUGUCUCAUCUUCAAGCGAGAGCUUCAGAUUGCAAAGGAAUUCUAACGGCCCUAUCCUUUUCACUCUUGACAUUUCUAUGAGCUUCAACAAGAAGAAUUCUGUUUCCCUGUGCUUACCACCUGAAUUAGUGUGGACAGAAGGGCACAUACCACACACCAUUUGCAGGGACUAUUUCUUAUGAUCAGUAAUUUUAAAGCAAUACACCUCCUCAGGCUCCUAAAUAUGUCAUCCCAGGAGCUGCUGCUCCUGUUCUCCCUUCCCCUUCAUCAUCCGUGUGUCAGACAUGCCUUGGGCCUGCUGGGCAUCUGCUGUUUACCGGUGGGCCCCUCCCUGCCCCCGCCCCCUGGUAAAGCCCUCGGAGGAAUGAAUUAUGGAAAACACAGCAGCUCACAGGGAAUAUGAUCCAAAAAUGUUUUCUCUCCCAGCUUGGCAAAAAUAGGUAGUAAAUUAACUAAAGGAUUGCUCACUGUGGGCUCCACUCAUAAGCAUAAUAUUUAAAAUGUAAAAAUAAAUAACUCCUUCUGCUCUCUUGCUCUCUAAAGUGCUCUGGAUAGCUCAAAAUGGUGAUUUUUGUACGUUCUAUUUAACCAACACAAGUUUUGAGAGUUAGCUGUGGACUGGACAUUUGAUAUCAUUCAGGAGGUAUUUUGAUGAAUAAGGCAUGGACCAGGCAAAGCCACAGACUUUUGUGGGGAGACAAACAUGUAACAGAUAAAGCAGAGUGUGGUUAGAACAAUAAGCAAUGCUGUUUACCAGUCGGAGUGCAGAGAAGGGUCACUUAAUGCAGCCUAAUCGAGUGCAGAAAAGGGAGACUAAGAAAUUCCCUGGAAAGAAGAGGCACUGAAUUGAGGGUUAAAGAUUGAGUAGUUAGUAUCUUUUAAAAAGGGAGGAGAUUGGUAGAAAGGAGAAAAAAGAAUUCUUAAUUCUAUUGUCCUCCAACUUGUGUGUAUUAUUAGCACACCCUGGGAAAUCUCUAACUACUGCUUCUUUAGAAUUCAUUACACCUGCUGAAUUCCAUGGGCCUCCGCCCCCUUAUAAUUUCUGUGAAUUUGCUUAAUUAAGACCCUGUGAUAGACUGGGCAGACAUUUCCUGGCAAUUAAUAAUCAGCUGGGGGAGCUUAAGUCUGGAAGCAAAGCUGUGAAAAUAUGCACUUAUAUUUAUACAAAAAGUAGUCAAAUUUUACCUUUUCAUGUUUUGAUCAGCCAAAAGUUGAAAAGCCACAUUGUUGGGGUUGACAAGCUGCAUUUACAGUUUGGUUCUUUUCCUAAUCACUGAAAACCAUCCACAAAUAAACAGGAUGAGAGAAGCACACACUUUGUCUUUGGCAUUAGGUGUUUGGAAUCCAAGUGAAUUUCUGGAGAACUUUCCUAAGAGUAGCUGCUGGUUAAUACUAGGAUUAGUUACUUAGGGUUGUG